rnacentral:rRNA from 1 species
UACGGAGGGGGCUAGCGUUGUUCGGAAUUACUGGGCGUAAAGCGCGCGUAGGCGGACCUGCAAGUCGGGGUGAAAGCCCGAGGCUCAACCUCGGAACUGCCUUCGAUACUGCGGGUCUCGAGUCCGGGAGAGGUGAGUGGAAUUCCUAGUGUAGAGGUGAAAUUCGUAGAUAUUAGGAAGAACACCAGUGGCGAAGGCGGCUCACUGGUCCCGGUACUGACGCUGAGGCGACGAAAGCGUGGGGAGCAAACAGG